GAUGAACGCUGGCGGCGUGCCUAAUACAUGCAAGUCGAGCGAACGGACGAGAAGCUUGCUUCUCUGAUGUUAGCGGCGGACGGGUGAGUAACACGUGGAUAACCUACCUAUAAGACUGGGAUAACUUCGGGAAACCGGAGCUAAUACCGGAUGAUAUUUUGAACCGCAUGGUUCAAAAGUGAAAGACGGUCUUGCUGUCACUUAUAGAUGGAUCCGCGCUGCAUUAGCUAGUUGGUAAGGUAACGGCUUACCAAGGCAACGAUGCAUAGCCGACCUGAGAGGGUGAUCGGCCACACUGGAACUGAGACACGGUCCAGACUCCUACGGGAGGCAGCAGUAGGGAAUCUUCCGCAAUGGGCGAAAGCUUGACGGAGCAACGCCGCGUGAGUGAUGAAGGUCUUCGGAUCGUAAAACUCUGUUAUUAGGGAAGAACAAAUGUGUAAGUAACUGUGCACAUCUUGACGGUACCUAAUCAGAAAGCCACGGCUAACUACGUG
rnacentral:rRNA from 1 species